rnacentral:lncRNA from 1 species
UCAAUCCUCCUUUUUUACCCAAUAAACAUUGAAAUGUUGCUUCUUUCGUUAAGCAUAAAAACAUCAAAGUCUAGCAAAAUGUUGUUUUUGCGAUGACACAUUUCAUAUAGUUUAAAGGAUGCAUGAUUCGAUUACAAAAACAAAAUACUAAUAAUUCUAGCACAAAGUUUAAAGCUAAGAUUAUAAAGCUUCAUAGCAUGUGGAUAUUCAUUUAGAAAUAUAGGAUUAGGAUUGCCCCUUUCAUCACGGGUCUAAUAGCACCACUUGUCACUACAUGUUAAAAAUGUCCUCUAGUACAACACCGCUUUUUACUUGAUUCCCCUUGUCCAUGAAAAAAUCAAACAAUAUUUGGACACAAAAAUUUGCCCCCACUUUCCUUUUUCUUCUGCCCUAGUUUGUUUGAAAACUCAUAUUGAUCAAAUUUGGCUAUGAAUUCAAACAAAAAAUUCACUCUGCCCAUUGCAUGUGUGGGACCCACAUAUAAAUCCAUGAAGGAUUUCAAUGUCCAUCCAAGUCAAUGAUUCAACAUAUAACAUUGAAUAAUUUAAUUCCAAUUUGCAGUAUUAUGAUUUAGAUUGAUUGCUGCAAUACGGUCCGUGAAUGUAACUCACGAGAAAGAGGUAUCAAGGUAUUUUAUUUUAUUUUUAACAAAUAAAAUUUCAAGGUCUUGUUCACCAUAUAAACCUCCUCACUCUCACUCAAUUCUCUUAAGUGUAUGACUUCAUAGUAAACUACACUACUUUCUUUAAAACAUGGCUAACUAUGCUAUAGCCAAUGUUUUGAUCCUUCUCUUGAACUUGAGUACCUUACUCAAUGUUCUUGCUUGCCCUUAUUGUCCUUACCCAAGCCCUAAACCACCUUCACACCACCCUCCUAUUGUUAAGCCACCAGUUCACAAACCACCAAAGCAUUCUCCUACUCCUAAACCACCAGUUCAUAAACCACCAAGAUAUCCUCCUAAACCAUCACCUUGUCCACCCCCAUCAUCAACACCAAAACCACCUCAUCAUCCCAAACCCCCAGCAGUACACCCACCACAUGUUCCAAAACCACAUCCACCUUAUGUUCCAAAACCACCAAUUGUUAAACCUCCAAUAGUACAUCCACCUUACGUACCAAAACCCCCAGUUGUGAAACCACCACCAUAUGUCCCUAAACCACCUGUUGUGAGACCACCCUAUGUUCCUAAACCACCAGUUGUACCUGUAACACCACCUUAUGUUCCUAAGCCACCAAUUGUUUUCCCACCACAUGUUCCUCUACCUCCAGUUGUACCAUCACCACCACCUUAUGUACCAACACCUCCAAUUGUGAAACCACCAAUUGUUUUUCCACCACAUGUUCCUCUACCUCCAGUUGUGCCUGUAACACCACCUUAUGUGCAACCACCACCUAUUGUAACUCCACCAACACCAACACCUCCAAUUGUGACACCACCAACACCACCUAGUGAAACACCUUGUCCUCCACCACCACUUGUACCUUAUCCACCACCACCAGCACAACAAACAUGUUCCAUUGAUGCUUUGAAGUUGGGUGCAUGUGUUGAUGUGCUUGGUGGACUCAUACAUAUUGGUAUAGGUGGAAGUG